GCAGUGGUGUAGGUUGCUGCGACAUCAUGUGCUUUUCAGAGCUGGGGCAGAGGGUUACCACCUUGGGGUGAUUGGCAGUCACAGUUAAAACAGACCGCACCCUCAAUCAAUCCCAGUAUGAGUAAUAUCAGGAGCAGGGGCGUCUCCACAGGGAGGAUCAGCUACUGCUGAUGUGCAGAGAUGCUGUGGUUCAGAUACGCAAACAGGAGCAACACUCAGCACGUUAGUGACAGCAGCUCUGAAAUGUCAUGAGUAUGAUAAGCUGAUCCAGUUUUCGGGAAGCGACGUUCUCCUCUACCUAACCAAGUCAGAGAACUGGAGUUGU